rnacentral:rRNA from 1 species
CCUACGGGUGGCAGCAGUGGGGAAUAUUGCACAAUGGGCGCAAGCCUGAUGCAGCCAUGCCGCGUGUGUGAAGAAGGCCUUCGGGUUGUAAAGCACUUUCAGCGGGGAGGAAGGCGGUGAGGUUAAUAACCUCAUCGAUUGACGUUACCCGCAGAAGAAGCACCGGCUAACUCCGUGCCAGCAGCCGCGGUAAUACGGAGGGUGUAAGCGUUAAUCGGAAUUACUGGGCGUAAAGCGCACGCAGGCGGUCUGUCAAGUCGGAUGUGAAAUCCCCGGGCUCAACCUGGGAACUGCAUUCGAAACUGGCAGGCUAGAGUCUUGUAGAGGGGGGUAGAAUUCCAGGUGUAGCGGUGAAAUGCGUAGAGAUCUGGAGGAAUACCGGUGGCGAAGGCGGCCCCCUGGACAAAGACUGACGCUCAGGUGCGAAAGCGUGGGGAGCAAACAGGAUUAGAUACCCGGGUAGUC